CGCACGGGACUAGGUCGCCAACGCCGACCACAUCAAGGGUCAAAAUUGAUUCCUCCGCUUUAGACAAGCUCUCUUCACAAUCGAAGAAACCCUCUUCGAUCUCUUCCCCCAAAACCCUACCACACACAAACCCUAAAUUCCUAACCAUUAAUUUCUGCAACAAUGUCCAUUUAGCCAUUAAUUUCUCUAAAGGAGGUUAUGGGAGUUGAGGUAGUGCCCGGUAAGUCCAAUACUACCGAUAUACAGUCACGAGCACAGAAGAAGAAUCUAUAGUUCUUAACUAUAACUUACCUGAAUUCAGUGAACUCUGUAGCUCCAUUAACGAUGCAUGGAAAAAGGCUCAAGAUUACCUGAGGGGUGCCAUUGCUUAGAAGUGAUAUAUAACCAUGUCGGCUUCCUGAGAUAUUGGACCUCUGAGUACAUGGAGCUCAUGCAUGAAAAAUUUUAGUGGUCAAAUUACGUUGCUGACCAGGAUGAACACUUUGCCAUUGUUGCUCUAGAAACAAUGGCAGCACAAAAACCUGCUAUUGCUUGCAACAGUGGAGGCCCAGUUGAGACGAUUAUACAUGAAACUACAGGAUUUCUCUGUGAUCCAACUCCAUUAGAUAGUUUAAACUGGUGGCAGAUAUUUUCGAGAAGGAGGUGCAGAUGAGUCAUGCAAUUGUACUCAUUUUUUAUAAUGAUUUACAAUUUUUGUUAUUGUACUCAUUUUUUUCGAUGUUGGCAAAUAUUAAAUUGUAUGCUAUCUUUUUUCUAAUUGUUAGGAGAAUUACACUAAUACUUGUACUUUCAAUAAUAUACUCGUUUUUUUGUACAGUUUUACAA